rnacentral:rRNA from 1 species
UACGUAGGGACCAAGCGUUGUUCGGAUUUACUGGGCGUAAAGGGCGCGUAGGCGGCAAUUCAAGUCAUCUGUGAAAUCUCCGAGCUUAACUCGGAACGGUCAGAUGAUACUGCUUUGCUAGAGUGCAGAAGGGGCAACCGGAAUUCUUGGUGUAGCGGUGAAAUGCGCAGAUAUCAGGAGGAACACCGGUGGCGAAGGCGGAUCUCUGGGCCUGUCCUGACGCUGAGGCGCGAAAGCUAGGGGGAGCGAACAGG